UCGAUUAGCACCAAUUCGAUCGACUAAGUAUUAAUUGAUCAUCCGAUACAGAGAAGAUUAGCAUGGUCUCUGCGUAAGGAUGACACGCACAAAGCGAGAAAUGGUCCAAAUUUUU
rnacentral:snRNA from 1 species